AACUUUUAAACAAUGGAUCUCUUGGCUCUCACAUCCGAUGAAGAACACCAGUGAAAUGUGAUAAGUAAUGUGAAUUGCAGAAUUCAGUGAAUCAUUGAAUCUUUGAACCGCACCUUGCCACCUUUUGGUAUUCCAAGAGGUACACCUGUUUGAGUGUCAU
rnacentral:rRNA from 1 species